GAUGAACGCUGGCGGCGUGCCUAAUACAUGCAAGUCGAGCGAACAGACGAGGAGCUUGCUCCUCUGACGUUAGCGGCGGACGGGUGAGUAACACGUGGAUAACCUACCUAUAAGACUGGGAUAACUUCGGGAAACCGGAGCUAAUACCGGAUAAUAUAUUGAACCGCAUGGUUCAAUAGUGAAAGACGGUUUUGCUGUCACUUAUAGAUGGAUCCGCGCCGCAUUAGCUAGUUGGUAAGGUAACGGCUUACCAAGGCAACGAUGCGUAGCCGACCUGAGAGGGUGAUCGGCCACACUGGAACUGAGACGCGGUCCAGACUCCUACGGGAGGCAGCGGUAGGGAAUCUUCCGCAAUGGGCGAAAGCCUGACGGAGCAACGCCGCGUGAGUGGUGAAGGUCUUCGGAUCGUAAAACUCUGUUAUUAGGGAAGAACAAAUGUGUAAGUAACUAUGCACGUCUUGACGGUACCUAAUCAGAAAGCCACGGCUAACUCCGUG
rnacentral:rRNA from 1 species